rnacentral:lncRNA from 1 species
CUGGAAGAGAAGAACUACGGUCCCCAAGAGCCUUUUCGAGUACUGUUAUCAUUCCCGCUCAAGGGAACAGAUAUAAGGGCGCAGGUCAUCUGACUUGGCCUCUUCCCGUCUCGCCGUGUUCCCUGUCAGAUCGGCUUGCUUCUGCUGCUCCCGACUGCAUGCAAGACUUCAGUAUUAGUAUCGUUGCCGCCGUUUUUAAUUAUUUUGGGGUCCCCUGUUUCCCUUCCUGGAGGCACGGAUUUUGCGAAAUCCCUCCACCCCACUAGCCAUGGAACCAGGCCGGACCAGCCCUUAAACCGUUGACAACUGGAGAGCACACUGUGGAGCAUAGCAUUGCUUGGUGACUCAACAGCUCAAGACAACUACCCAAGAUAUGCUAAUCCAAGUAAGAACAGGGUUUGUUUUUUAUUUUUCAAAGUUAUUGCUUCAUUUACUUUCUGGUCUCCCCUACAUAGCAACAUUCAGAAUAGAGUCUAGAAACCUUGAAGCUGGAAGCCUUCUGUUACAAUAGUUCCCAGAUUUCUAUCAACUUCCUUGUUCCUUUCCUAUAGCAAAGAUAAAGUGAAGUACAAUCAUUUUUUCAAUUUUGAACAGGGUUGUUUACUGUAAGAUGAAAUAAAAAAUGAAUGGCAAGACAGACUGGCCAAAUUUAGCUCUGCAAGAGGCAGAUACAAAUCUAAUUGAAAUCACUGGACUAUCCAUAUUUUAAAUCUGUGGAGCAGGAAAUGUAAUAAACUAACCACAGGAAUCUUAAUUUAUUAGAGAGAGCUCACCACUUCCAUGUGAAGGUUAUAUAUAGAAAUUCUGAUUGUC